rnacentral:rRNA from 1 species
AACCUCCGCAAUGCGGGAAACCGCGACGGGGUCACCCCGAGUGUCACCCGCUGAGGGUGACUUUUGCCCGGUCUAACCAGCCGGGUGAAUAAGGGGAGGGCAAGCCUGGUGUCAGCCGCCGCGGUAAUACCAGCUCCCCGAGUGGUGGGGACGAUUAUUGGGCCUAAAGCGUCCGUAGCCGGCCUAGUAAGUCUCCCGUUAAAUCUGGCGGCAUAACCGUCAGGCUGCGGGAGAUACUGCUAGGCUAGGGGGCGGAAGAGGCCGGCGGUACUCUUGGGGUAGGGGUGAAAUCCUAUAAUCCCAGGAGGACCAUCAGUGGCGAAGGCGGCCGGCCAGGACGCGCCCGACGGUGAGGGACGAAAGCUGGGGGAGCGAACCGGAUUAGAUACCCGGGUAAUCCCAGCUGUAAACGAUGCGGGCUAAGUGUCGGAACGGCCUUGAGCCGUUCCGGUGCUGCAGGGAAGCCGUUAAGCCCGCCGCCUGGGGAGUACGGCCGCAAGGCUGAAACUUAAAGGAAUUGGCGGGGGAGCACCACAAGGGGUGAAGCCUGCGGUUUAAUUGGAGUCAACGCCGGGAACCUUACCGGGGGAGACAGCUGGAUGAAGGCCAGAUUGAAGGUCUUGCCAGACUAGCUGAGAGGAGGUGCAUGGCCGUCGCCAGCUCGUGCCGUGAGGUAUCCCGUUAAGUCGGGCAACGAGCGAGACCCACACCCCUAGUUGCUAACGGAAGCCGAAAGGUUUCCGUGCACUCUAGGGGGACUGCCGCCGAUAAGGCGGAGGAAGGAGUGGGCCACGGCAGGUCAGUAUGCCCCGAAUCCCCCGGGCCACACGCGGGCUGCAAUGGCGAAGACAAUGGGUUCCGACCCCGAAAGGGGAAGGUAAUCCCUAAACUUCGCCGUAGUUGGGAUCGAGGGCUGAAACCCGCCCUCGUGAACAUGGAAUCCCUAGUAAUCGCGCGUCACCAUCGCGCGGUGAAUACGUCCCUGCUCCUUGCACACACCGCCCGUCGCUCCAACCGAGCUAAGUCUAGGUGAGGUUUGGUCGUGCUGGCCAAGUCGAACCUAGGCUUGGCGAGGGGGGAG